rnacentral:lncRNA from 1 species
CAUCGUUGUUCUUGAAACAAUCAUUAUUAGUAUACAUGUAAGUUUCCUGACGUAUAAGAGCCAUUGAGGAUGAGCUCCAGAGAAAUCAGACUAGUGGCGUUUCGUUCGUUUGUUUGUUGGGAAAGGAGAGGAAAUGCAACCGCUUGUACAGAUAAACGACAUAAUUACCAUACAAGCAUUUAUAGUCAACACAAUCAGAAAGAGUUCCCAUCGUUAGACGGGGAAUAUGAAGGCUUCCAAGAAUGAACAAGUGACAUGUCUAACUCUGAACAGUUAGAAAACAGACUAUCGACAUCGACCGCUUGUUC